rnacentral:rRNA from 1 species
CCCUUAGAUGUUCUGGGCCGCACGCGCGCUACACUGAUGCAUUCAACGAGUUUCUUCCUGGUCCGAGAGGAAUGGGUAACCUUUUGAAAGUGCAUCGUGAUAGGGAUAGACUAUUGCAAUUAUUGGUCUUCAACGAGGAAUUCCUAGUAGACGUAGUUCAUCAGACUGCAUCGAUUACGUCCCUGCCCUUUGUACACACCGCCCGUCGCUCCUACCGAUUGAAUGCUCAGGUGAGCCAUUCGGACUUUCAUCAUGCUGGUUUCCAGUUUUGAUGAAGGAAAGUCUUGCGAACCUUAUCAUUGAGAGGAAGGAGAAGUCGUAACA